rnacentral:lncRNA from 1 species
AAAAAAAAAAAAAAGAAUGGUAUGGCCAUGUGUUUGUGUUCUAUGGACUAUGGACUGUGUGUGGGUGGACUUUAGUUUAGUCCCCAUUUAUUUAUUUAUUUUUAUUUUAUUUUUUUUCCCAUUUAAUUAUGGGGAUCGGUACAAAUUAAAUAGGAAGUAGAGCAUGGGAUACAUACAAGUGACCGAUCCGGCCUUUGUCAUGUCUCUACUACGUUUAGAUCGAAAUUAAACCAUAUUUGCUUCUAUUUAUACAAAUUAUACUAUACUUCCACAAAAACUGAAAAGAAGAUACUACAGUCCCAAUCAUCUCUGU